ACUGAUUGAUGGUGCUUGCACCUGAUUGACGAUGGAUCACCAGUGAGUGGCGGACGGGUGAGUAACACGUAGGUAACCUGCCCCGGAGCGGGGGAUAACAUUUGGAAACAGAUGCUAAUACCGCAUAACAACAAAAGCCACAUGGCUUUUGUUUGAAAGAUGGCUUUGGCUAUCACUCUGGGAUGGACCUGCGGUGCAUUAGCUAGUUGGUAAGGUAACGGCUUACCAAGGCGAUGAUGCAUAGCCGAGUUGAGAGACUGAUCGGCCACAAUGGAACUGAGACACGGUCCAUACUCCUACGGGAGGCAGCAGUAGGGAAUCUUCCACAAUGGGCGCAAGCCUGAUGGAGCAACACCGCGUGAGUGAAGAAGGGUUUCGGCUCGUAAAGCUCUGUUGUUGGAGAAGAACGUGCGU
rnacentral:rRNA from 2 species